rnacentral:ribozyme from 1 species
AGGAAUACCGCACUGAUAUGGGUAUGGAUCCGAAGGCCCUCGAAGGAUAACUCUGACUCAAUACGUCCACGUCGUACAGAAGGGUAACAUACAUAUCUCCAAAUAUCUGAGCUUGGGUAUACGGGGAAACCAAACCCCUUGGGAAGAUGCAGUAUAUGGCUAAAUUGAGCGGA